rnacentral:rRNA from 1 species
GAUGAACGCUGGCGGCGUGCCUAAUACAUGCAAGUCGAGCGAACAGAUAAGGAGCUUGCUCCUUUGAAGUUAGCGGCGGACGGGUGAGUAACACGUGGGUAACCUACCUAUAAGACUGGGAUAACUUCGGGAAACCGGAGCUAAUACCGGAUAACAUUUAGAACCGCAUGGUUCUAAAGUGAAAGAUGGUUUUGCUAUCACUUAUAGAUGGACCCGCGCCGUAUUAGCUAGUUGGUAAGGUAACGGCUUACCAAGGCGACGAUACGUAGCCGACCUGAGAGGGUGAUCGGCCACACUGGAACUGAGACGCGGUCCAGACUCCUACGGGAGGCAGCAGUAGGGAAUCUUCCGCAAUGGGCGAAAGCCUGACGGAGCAACGCCGCGUGAGUGAUGAAGGGUUUCGGCUCGUAAAACUCUGUUAUUAGGGAAGAACAAAUGUGUAAGUAACUGUGCACAUCUUGACGGUACCCAAUCAGAAAGCCACGGCUAACUACGUG